GGUUGAUCCUGCCGGAGGUCACUGCUAUUGGGAUUCGACUAAGCCAUGCGAGUCGAGAGGGUUCGGCCCUCGGCUGACGGCUCAGUAACACGUGGAUAAUCUACCCUAAGGUGGAGGAUAAUCUCGGGAAACUGAGAAUAAUACUCCAUAAGUCUAGGAUACUGGAAUGUACUUAGGCUGAAAACUUCGGUGCCUUAGGAUGAGUCUGCGGACUAUCAGGUUGUAGUCAGGGUAAAGACCUGACUAGCCUACAACGGAUACGGGUUGUGAGAGCAAUAACCCGGAGAUGAUAUCUGAGACACGAUAUCAGGCCCUACGGGGCGCAGCAGGCGCGAAAACUUCACACUGCGCGAAAGCGCGAUGAGGGAAUCCCAAGUGCUUGCACGUAAGUGUAAGCUGU
rnacentral:rRNA from 1 species